rnacentral:rRNA from 1 species
GCGCUAAUAGAUGAGCCUAAGUCGGAUUAGCUAGUUGGUGGGGUAAAGGCCUACCAAGGCGACGAUCUGUAGCGGGUCUGAGAGGAUGAUCCGCCACACUGGGACUGAGACACGGCCCAGACUCCUACGGGAGGCAGCAGUGGGGAAUAUUGGACAAUGGGGGGAACCCUGAUCCAGCCAUGCCGCGUGUGUGAAGAAGGCCUUAUGGUUGUAAAGCACUUUAAGCGAGGAGGAGGCUACUGAGACUAAUACUCUUGGAUAGUGGACGUUACUCGCAGAAUAAGCACCGGCUAACUCUGUGCCAGCAGCCGCGGUAAUACAGAGGGUGCGAGCGUUAAUCGGAUUUACUGGGCGUAAAGCGUGCGCAGGUGGUUUAUUAAGUCUGGUGUAAAAGGCAGUGGCUCAACCAUUGUAUGCAUUGGAAACUGGUAGACUUGAGUGCAGGAGAGGAGAGUGGAAUUCCAUGUGUAGCGGUGAAAUGCGUAGAUAU